GCGGCGUGCCUAAUACAUGCAAGUCGAGCGGACAGAUGGGAGCUUGCUCCCUGAUGUUAGCGGCGGACGGGUGAGUAACACGUGGGUAACCUGCCUGUAAGACUGGGAUAACUCCGGGAAACCGGGGCUAAUACCGGAUGCUUGUUUGAACCGCAUGGUUCAAACAUAAAAGGUGGCUUCGGCUACCACUUACAGAUGGACCCGCGGCGCAUUAGCUAGUUGGUGAGGUAACGGCUCACCAAGGCGACGAUGCGUAGCCGACCUGAGAGGGUGAUCGGCCACACUGGGACUGAGACACGGCCCAGACUCCUACGGGAGGCAGCAGUAGGGAAUCUUCCGCAAUGGACGAAAGUCUGACGGAGCAACGCCGCGUGAGUGAUGAAGGUUUUCGGAUCGUAAAGCUCUGUUGUUAGGGAAGAACAAGUGCCGUUCAAAUAGGGCGGCACCUUGACGGUACCUAACCAGAAAGCCACGGCUAACUACGUGCCAGCAGCCCGCGGUAAUACGUAGGUGGCAAGCCGUUGUCCGGAAUUAUUGGGCGUAAAGGGCUCGCAGGCGGUUUCUUAAGUCUGAUGUGAAAGCCCCCGGCUCAACCGGGGAGGGUCAUUGGAAACUGGGGAACUUGAGUGCAGAAGAGGAGAGUGGAAUUCCACGUGUAGCGGUGAAAUGCGUAGAGAUGUGGAGGAACACCAGUGGCGAAGGCGACUCUCUGGUCUGUAACUGACGCUGAGGAGCGAAAGCGUGGGGAGCGAACAGGAUUAGAUACCCUGGUAGUCCACGCCGUAAACGAUGAGUGCUAAGUGUUAGGGGGUUUCCGCCCCUUAGUGCUGCAGCUAACGCAUUAAGCACUCCGCCUGGGGAGUACGGUCGCAAGACUGAAACUCAAAGGAAUUGACGGGGGCCCGCACAAGCGGUGGAGCAUGUGGCUUAAUUCGAAGCAACGCGAAGAACCUUACCAGGUCUUGACAUCCUCUGACAACCCUAGAGAUAGGGCUUCCCCUUCGGGGGCAGAGUGACAGGUGGUGCAUGGUUGUCGUCAGCUCGUGUCGUGAGAUGUGGGGUUAAGUCCCGCAACGAGCGCAACCCUUGAUCUUAGUUGCCAGCAUUCAGUUGGGCACUCUAAGGUGACUGCCGGUGACAAACCGGAGGAAGGUGGGGAUGACGUCAAAUCAUCAUGCCCCUUAUGACCUGGGCUACACACGUGCUACAAUGGACAGAACAAAGGGCAGCGAGACCGCGAGGUUAAGCCAAUCCCACAAAUCUGUUCUCAGUUCGGAUCGCAGUCUGCAACUCGACUGCGUGAAGCUGGAAUCGCUAGUAAUCGCGGAUCAGCAUGCCGCGGUGAAUACGUUCCCGGGCCUUGUACACACCGCCCGUCACACCACGAGAGUUUGUAACACCCGAAGUCGGUGAGGUAACCUUUAUGGAGCCAGCCGCCGAAGGUGGGACAGAUGAUUGGGGUGAAGUCGUAACAAGGUAGC
rnacentral:rRNA from 1 species